GUACUGUUUAUAUAUAUCUUGUUGCAUUCACCCAAACCGAUGCAGAGUCGAUGUGAUGGGGGUUUCGGGCGAGCCGUCGCGAGAACGGCCACACCCUCAUGGUGCACAUUAAGGGUCGAUAGACGAGUCGGAGGGCGAGCACGACGGGCGGACCCGUCAGCGUCGAAACCCCCCUUUUCGUGAAUACGGUAAUGAUCCUUCCGCAGGUUCACCUACGGAAA
rnacentral:misc_RNA from 1 species